GACGAACGCUGGCGGCGUGCUUAACACAUGCAAGUCGAACGGAAAGGCCCUGCUUUUGUGGGGUGCUCGAGUGGCGAACGGGUGAGUAACACGUGAGUAACCUGCCCUUGACUUUGGGAUAACUUCAGGAAACUGGGGCUAAUACCGGAUAGGAGCUCCUGCUGCAUGGUGGGGGUUGGAAAGUUUCGGCGGUUGGGGAUGGACUCGCGGCUUAUCAGCUUGUUGGUGGGGUAGUGGCUUACCAAGGCUUUGACGGGUAGCCGGCCUGAGAGGUUGACCGGCCACAUUGGGACUGCGAUACGGCCCAGACUCCUACGGGAGGCAGCAGUGGGGAAUAUUGCACAAUGGGCGGAAGCCUGAUGCAGCAACGCCGCGUGCGGGAUGACGGCCUUCGGGUUGUAAACCGCUUUCGCCUGUGACGAAGCGUGAGUGACGGUAAUGGGUAAAGAAGCACCGGCUAACUACGUG
rnacentral:rRNA from 1 species